AAACAGCCUCCAAAGCACACAGUCUGGUCUCACAAUCACAGAACACGUUAGGUCAGAAGGGACCAUAAAGCCCACCCAGUUCCAAACCCUGCUGUGGGCAGGGCUGCCAACCAGGGCCCUGUCCAACCUGACCUUGAGCACCUCAGCCAAGAUAAGCACAGAUAUCCCAGUAUCGACCCUUUAAAGCUCCAGUUCUGCCAAGGAUUCAAACAUCACUGAAUUUCACAGCCAGUUUGGCAUCUCCAUCAGAGCUGGCACCCACCAGGAAUAAAGGCAAUCUCAGCCCCACGCACUGGAAACAUUUCCCACUGCUGACAAUAGAGAAGCAAGGAGCGGACUCUCUACAUGAUUCUCCAUCCUUGCAGGCUUCUGAGAAUACACUAGAAGCCUGCUCAGGUUAUGCUGUCCUUCAGUUCUGAAAGGCUCAACGGAGUGGGCAGCAGCACAGCAUGCACCUGGGGGGCAACAAAGAAAUCAUUACUCUGUGGGGAUGGGAAGCAAGAAGAAAUCCUACUGAAAUAGUGUAUACAGGAGCAAGAGGAGGCAAAGACAAGAGAGGCUCAGGAGAGUAUGGUAAAACAGCACAAAGCAAAUGAUUCUCCACUACGAACAGCACGAAUACAGAAACCAUGCAACAGAUGCAGCAAGCUGAACAUAAAAUCGAGUGUCGCAGACCCGCAGUGAGACUGUGCAGGGUGCAGCGUGCAGGCAGUGCCCACAGCUAUGGUCAGCCCCUGGAGAACCAGAACUGCUCUGCUUUCCAGCUGAGAAGAGCUCCUCUGUGGCAAGGCAAGGGGUGAGUUACAGCCAGGCACUUGCAGUGCCGUGGAAAUGAGGGCUGUUUUCCUUUCUGCUAAUCUGUGUUAUUAUGUCCUCCUUUGGAUUCCCCUGCUGGUGGUCAAUGCUGGUUAAAGACAUGGCUGUUAUCCAAGGCCUGCACUCACGUGCUUCAUGUACGAAAUGCUGACAGGAAAAAAAAAAGCAAACUUUCCAUUCCUUCAUUGGGCGGUUCUGCUGCUGCUGAACACAAAAGGCACCAUUUCAUUUCCUUCGUGCAGCCCUUAUUUGUUCAGAAACGACUUUCCUUUUCCAGAGGAACGACCUGACCUGACCUCUCGUGGGUGCCACAAGUCGCUACCAGUGGGAGUUUCAGAGCCUCAGGGCUGGGACUUUUACUUGCAAUUUAUUUAUUUAUUUAUUUAUUAAAGGAUUUCACAUGAAAAGCCCCCACACAAAGUCUGGAUCUGUUGAUUGUUAUGGCCCACUGAAAAUAAACCAUACAAUCAUAGAAUGGCCUGGGUUGAAAAGGACCACAGUGAUCAUUGAGUUUCAACCCCUCUGCUAUGUGCAGGGUCGCCAACCACCAGACCAGGGCUGCCCAGAGCCACAUCCAGCCUGGCCUUGAAUGCCUCCAGGGAUGGGGCAUCCACAGCCUCCUUGGGCAACCUGUUCCAGUGCGUCACCACCCUCUGGGGGAAAAGCUUCCUCCUAAUAUCUAACCUAAACCUCUCCUGUCUCAGGGGAGAACUCUCUGUUCCUGUAAGAACUAUAACAGCUGGUAGCUAUGCAGACCACCCAUGCUUAUUCAUUCGUAGCCUCUCUUUUGCUUUA